rnacentral:rRNA from 1 species
UACGUAGGGGGCAGCGUUGUCCGGAUUCAUUGGGCGUAAAGAGCGUGUAGGCGGCCCGGUAAGUCCGCUGUGAAAGUCGGGGGCUCAACCCUCGAAUGCCGGUGGAUACUGUCGGGCUAGAGUGCGGAAGAGGCGAGUGGAAUUCCCGGUGUAGCGGGUGAAAUGCGCAGAUAAUCGGGAGGAACACCAAUUGCGAAGGCAGCUCGCUGGGACGUUACUGACGC